rnacentral:lncRNA from 1 species
GACCUAGAGAUGCAGCUAAACAGGUGGCAAAUCAGAGGGUUUAAGGAUUGUCUGUCAGGUGAGAAGGACUCCCUGGAGCUGCAGGUGAACAGGUUACAGGUGGAGUUGGAUACUGUUAGGAAUACUGUGCACUCCAAUCGUUCCACAGAACCCUGCAGCAGGUGGAGUGCUGAGGUGAUGUCUGACCUCCAGGCUGAGGCGGACCGAUGGAAAAGACUGUAUGAAGACCUGCUCAGACUCACCACACAGCAGGUACCCUGUCUGAAUGAGAACACUAUGAACUGUUAUAUAUGAAGCUUCACACACACGUACGCAGCCCGUUUUAAUGUGUAUUUGGUUUGGUCAGGGCCAGCGGGCAGCAGAUGGGCAUCUCAAACCCUCCUGAGGAUCCAAACACAGAGCAGAGUUUCACAUCUUACACCGAUUCAAACUGACCCAUGAAAAACCCCUAAACCUGUAGUUCUGUUGAAAUCACUUUUAUUGAAUAUGCAGGGUUUAUGAAAGAAGAGAGCUGUUCAGAUCAAGUUCUUCACUUUUAUUUGGUUUGCUGUUUGUUCUCUGGUGCUUCAGGGUCACCAGAAUUACAAUAAAUGUUAUGAAGUUUAUUUCGAGUUUUAUGCAU